GACGAACGCUGGCGGCGUGCUUAACACAUGCAAGUCGAGCGAUGAGAUCCCUUCGGGGAUGGAUUAGCGGCGAACGGGUGAGGAACACGUGAAGAAUCUGCCUUCAACUCUGGGAUAACACCGGGAAACCGGUGCUAAUACCGGAUAUGAGCCUUGAUCGCAUGAUCGGGGCUGGAAAGUUUUUCGGUUGAAGAUGACUUCGCGGCCUAUCAGCUUGUUGGUGAGGUAAUGGCUCACCAAGGCGACGACGGGUAGCCGGCCUGAGAGGGCGACCGGCCACACUGGGACUGAGACACGGCCCAGACUCCUACGGGAGGCAGCAGUGGGAAUAUUGGGCAAUGGACGAAAGUCUGACCCAGCGACGCCGCGUGAGGGAUGAAGGCCUUCGGGUUGUAAACCUCUUUCAGCAGGAAGAAGCGAAAGUGACGGUACCUGCAGAAGAAGCACCGGCUAACUAUGUG
rnacentral:rRNA from 1 species